CCUACGGGGGGCAGCAGUGGGGAAUAUUGGACAAUGGGGGGAACCCUGAUCCAGCCAUGCCGCGUGUGUGAAGAAGGCCCUCGGGUUGUAAAGCACUUUCAGUGAGGAAGAACGCCUGGUGGUUAAUACCCAUCAGGAAAGACAUCACUCACAGAAGAAGCACCGGCUAACUCCGUGCCAGCAGCCGCGGUAAUACGGAGGGUGCGAGCGUUAAUCGGAAUUACUGGGCGUAAAGCGCGCGUAGGUGGCUUGAUAAGCCGGUUGUGAAAGCCCCGGGCUCAACCUGGGAACGGCAUCCGGAACUAUCAAGCUAGAGUGCAGGAGAGGAAGGUAGAAUUCCCGGUGUAGCGGUGAAAUGCGUAGAGAUCGGGAGGAAUACCAGUGGCGAAGGCGGCCUUCUGGACUGACACUGACACUGAGGUGCGAAAGCGUGGGUAGCAAACAGGAUUAGAUACCCUUGUAGUC
rnacentral:rRNA from 1 species